rnacentral:rRNA from 1 species
UAGUGGCGAACGGGUGAGUAACACGUGGGCAAUCUGCCCUUCACUCUGGGACAAGCCCUGGAAACGGGGUCUAAUACCGGAUAAUACUCCUGCCUGCAUGGGCGGGGGUUGAAAGCUCCGGCGGUGAAGGAUGAGCCCGCGGCCUAUCAGCUUGUUGGUGGGGUAAUGGCCUACCAAGGCGACGACGGGUAGCCGGCCUGAGAGGGCGACCGGCCACACUGGGACUGAGACACGGCCCAGACUCCUACGGGAGGCAGCAGUGGGGAAUAUUGCACAAUGGGCGAAAGCCUGAUGCAGCGACGCCGCGUGAGGGAUGACGGCCUUCGGGUUGUAAACCUCUUUCAGCAGGGAAGAAGCGAAAGUGACGGUACCUGCAGAAGAAGCGCCGGCUAACUACGUGCCAGCAGCCGCGGUAAUACGUAGGGCGCAAGCGUUGUCCGGAAUUAUUGGGCGUAAAGAGCUCGUAGGCGGCUUGUCACGUCGGAUGUGAAAGCCCGAGGCUUAACCUCGGGUCUGCAUUCGAUACGGGCUAGCUAGA